rnacentral:rRNA from 1 species
AGUGAACGCUGGCGGUAGGCCUAACACAUGCAAGUCGAACGGCAGCACAGUAAGAGCUUGCUCUUACGGGUGGCGAGUGGCGGACGGGUGAGGAAUACAUCGGAAUCUACUUUUUCGUGGGGGAUAACGUAGGGAAACUUACGCUAAUACCGCAUACGACCUACGGGUGAAAGCAGGGGAUCUUCGGACCUUGCGCGAUUGAAUGAGCCGAUGUCGGAUUAGCUAGUUGGCGGGGUAAAGGCCCAGCAAGGCGACGAUCCGUAGCUGGUCUGAGAGGAUGGUCGGCCGCACUAGAACUGAGACACGGUCCAUACUCCUACGGGAGGCAGCAGUGGGGAAUAUUGGACAGAGGGCGCAAGCCUGAUCCAGCCAUACCGCGUGGGUGAAGAAGGCCUUCGGGUUGUAAAGCCCUUUUGUUGGGAGAGAAAAGCAGCAGGUUAAUACCCCGCUGUUCUGACGGUACCCAAAGAAUAAGCACCGGCUAACUUCGUG